rnacentral:hammerhead_ribozyme from 1 species
ACCAGUUGAUGAGUCCCAAAUAGGAUGAAACACGUGUCCUGGAU